GAUGAACGCUAGCGGCAGGCUUAAUACAUGCAAGUCGAGGGGCAGCAUAGGUGUAGCAAUACAUUUGAUGGCGACCGGCAAACGGGUGCGGAACACGUACACAACCUUCCGAUAAGUGGGGAAUAGCCCAGAGAAAUUUGGAUUAAUACCCCGUAACAUAUAGAGGUGGCAUCAUCUUUAUAUUAUAACUACGGCGCUUAUUGAUGGGUGUGCGGCUGAUUAGAUAGUUGGCGGGGUAACGGCCCACCAAGUCUACGAACAGUAGCUGAUGUGAGACCAUGAUCAGCCAAACGGUUACUGAGAAAAGGGCCCGACUCCUACGGGAGGCAGCAGUAAGGAAUAUUGGUCAAUGGACGCAAGUUUGAACCAGCCAUGACGUGUGAAGGAUUAAGGUCCUCUGGAUUGUAAGCUUCUUUUAUCUGGGACGAAAAAAGGCGAUUCUUCGUCACUUGACGGUACCAGAUGAAUAAGCACCGGCUAACUCCGUGCCAGCCGCCGCUGUAACAC
rnacentral:rRNA from 1 species